AUCCACCGCGGAGGCUGCUGGGAGCAAGACCUUUACCCUCUGACCGCCGCCGUGACCCCCGUCGCUCCGGCUUCCCUCCAGGCGGCAGCGGAAGCUCCCGCAACCUCCGGAGCUUGUGCGCCUACUUCAGGGACCGGCACCACGUCACCGUCACCUCCUGAGUAGUGAGUUCCCCUCUGAUGAAACCACUGGUGUAUUUACUCACCAUCCCCACCUUUUUUUUUUUUUUUCCCAACCUGAUGGAAGGAGGUACAUAAUGGAGAGCAAGUUUUUAAAGCACGGUCGCGUCGUGUGAACUUGCUCUAGCCAAAUUAGGUUUAUAGCAGUUUUUCUGGCUCUCGUUCCCCGCAGUCCCCACAUAAACAAGAGUGACCAGCUGGGUCAUCCGCAAGACCGUUUGAAAUUAUUGUGGCUUAGGUGGAAACUUAAAGGAGUGAAGUAUCUGCUUUCCAGAAAAAUCGUUGUCGUUCAAAGUGAAAUUAAACUUGUUUUCUUUGCAAUAAUUCCCCUUUAUUUCCUUGUAUAUCUGUAAACUCUUCACUUUUUUGUAAUUAGUAGACAGUUCGGACUUAAAAAGAGCCUCUGCAUAUGUGUUUUGGAAUUGUGUGGCUUCAUAAUGUGAAAAUUGUUCUUUUCUAUUUGAGUAAUUAAAGUACAGUUAAUUUGAAGUAAAUAAAAUUUCUAUUUCUAUUGGUUGUUUCUUUUAAAAAGUCACCUUUUACUUACAAAAGAAUCACUGUAAUCCGGUUUAAAUUUAUCAUUGAAGGUCAAAAGCAAGAAAUAUCAAGAAACACAAGCAUACUAUAAAAUAAAAGGUAACGGUCAUGUUUUUGAAGGUAAGGUGUUUUGACAUAUCAGCAGACAUUGUGUGAAUUUAUUUCAACUCCUAGUGGUACUGGUGUAGGUAGAAAAUGUAUUGCUUGGUUAUUCAUUUCAUCAAACACUCUACUUCACUGUUUUUUGUUUUCUUUUUCACUUCAGGAAAAUUCGAGGAGGAACAACACAUUAGUGUCUUUCCUUUCUUUCUCCCUGUCUUCUCCAAAUAGUCCCUUCCUUUUCCUGCUUUCUCCUCCUCAUGUUAACAUCUUCAACCAUAAGAUGGUGUGUUAAAAGAUUGAAUAUACCUCUAUGGAAUGACUUCCAGAGGGUGUAAGUCUGAUUUGAGAGUUUUAUUACCUUGAGUAUUUUACUGGAAGAGAUAGAACAACAAACAUUUUCAUAAUAAAUGUGUGGGUUAAGAGCAUUAGGAAAAAAUACACUGAUACCAUUACUUUCAAUAUUUGAUACUACUUACUUUGACUCUCACUGAACACUAUUUGUUUAGGAUGAGUUCACUUUAAGCCGUGUUGAAGAACAAGCCUUUAAUUGUCCUAUUAUUUGUGCCAAAUCUGUUAUAAAUUUGUUAAAAAAUUUUUAAUACCUACCUUAGAGAGUACUCUAGGUAUUUAAUGAGCUAGCAUUUGUUAAAGGCUUGUAUAGUAAGAAUUCUUAUAGUAAGAGUUCUUACCAAUAGAUGGGACAUUUUUUAAAUUGUCCUGUUACAUCAAAAAGUUCAUCUUUAUUGGUAAUGUUGAUCAAGUUUGCCCAUGGUAGUUUGGUUUUCUUUUAACUAUCUUACUAGAUUUUCUUACUUUUACCUGAAAAGUAGUCCAUACUAAUAGGCGCAUGUUUUGUGUAUUUCCAAAAUAUGUAUUAUGUUAAAUUCUCUGUACACUAUUUAAAAAUUACAGACUUUGAGGAAAAAAAUACCCUAUUAAGGGAAGAAUGAGUUUGUGUAUAACUUGUAGAAGAAGGAGGCCACACAUUUUUAGAAAAGUAUGGAUGGUAUUGAAAAUUUUGCCAUGGCAAGGGAUAAAAAGGACAGGCUUCUCUAAUGUGUCUAAAACAACAUUUGAAUUCCCUUUGUUCAUUCCCUAAAUCUGCUGCUCCUUUAGAAUUCCUGAUUUUCAUAAAUAGUACCACCAUUCACUUACUUGCUCAGGCAUAAAACUUGGAAUUUUCUGUGAUUCUUCAUACUCAUACUACUCAUCAGACAGUACCAUCAAUUCUUCCUGACAAAUAUAUUCUGAAUUUAGCUACUUAUCACCUCCACUGCUACAACCCUUGGGAGCCACCAUCAUCUCUUGCUGGACCAAAGCAAUAUCCACACUAGCUGCUUUCACUUUCUAUCUGUACCCUCAUGAAUAUUUUCCCAUUUAAACCGUUCGCUAUAUACCAAUCAAAGCAAUCAUUUAAAAAAUGUUGUUAGGUUAUGUCACUCCCUUGUUUAAAACUCUCCAAUAGCUUCCUUACGCACGCAGAAUGAAAUCGGAAUUCCUUACCAUAGAUAAUCUGCCUCCUGCCCACUUCUCCAUCUUCCCAGGAAGCAGCACAAGAAGUUCUUCUCACCCUUCUUACUGCCUCCUUUCUGUCAUGGGCUGAGCUUUUUCUAGUCGGUAGCAGAGUCUGUUAGUUGUCCCCAAAAAUUCCUCCAUUUUUUUCAUAGUAAUAGACAUGGAUACAUGGCUACCCAGAACAAAGACUAUGUUUUGCAGCCUUCCUUGUAGCUGUGUAAUAGUGCAGGCUGAUGGGAUAUAAGCAGUAUAUCAUGUGGCACACUUGUAAAACCAUCCUUAAAAGACAGUUGGUGCACACCUUCAAUGCAGCUUUUCCUUUAUCCUGUACCGUGGAAUAUAGAUGUGACGGCUUGGAACUCUAGCUGCCAAUUUGUGUCUCAUGCAAGUUCUCUCAUUCUAGGGAUGGCAAAACUAAACUGGUGGAGACCAGGGUCCGUGAGGACUUUGUGGAUCAGAGCACCAUGCCAGCCCUGCACUCGUAAAUGUCUAUAUUAUUAAAGCCACUAUUUUGGAGUCUCUUCUUCUCAACUGAAUUUAAUCUUACCUGAUACUGUGUCUCAGGGCCUUUGCACUUGCUUUUUAUUUUUUACUUAUUUAUUUUUUUUCUGCCUGGGAUGUGGUUUUUCUGUCUUGGAUAUGGCUGACUCAUUCUCUUCCUUCAGGUUAACCCAAAUAUCUCUGACAGGCCUUCCCUGGCCACCCUAUCUAAAAUAGCUCCCGUUCCCAUUUAUUCUCUGUCAAUCACGUGCCCUUCUGUUUUCUUAUUAGCAUUUAUAAUUUAUCAUUAUCUUCUUUAUUCACUGUUUAUUUUCUACUUCCCUUCCCCCUACAAAAAUAUAAACUACACCUGUUUUGUUCACUACUUUAUCCUUCACACAUGGUAGGCAUUAGAUAAAUGCUGUUAAAUUACUGAGUGAAUGAAUCAACAAAAUUCUUAUCCAAGAUUAGCUAGACUUUUUUAAUAAUAAAUGAGUAAAUGUCAAAAGAUAUCCUUAACACAAAAUUUGUAAAAUCCAAUCUGGGAAACAGGAAAAACAGUACUAAACUAAUAGGAUAUUAGCCCCCAACUUAGUAAAGAAGAUGUCUACCUUUUUCUGGGAAAUCUGUAAGGCUAGUACAAGGAAAAAAAAAAAAAAAGUAGACUGCACUGCAAUAUAUCCAGGGCUAAAAUUCACACUAAAAGGGGUCUGAUUUAUAAUUUACUAGACCUCAGUUUCUUCAUCUGAAAUAUGUGUAAGAAUCUUAAGCUUUGAAUGGUAAUACUAUAACAGUUAAAAGUUUAAUAGUAAGCCCAACUUGUGAGUGACAAAACAUGUUAAACAUUAAUUUAGUCUUCAGGCAUUAUUUUAGCAAGUGGUUAUUUCUUGAUAAUACUAGCAAGGAUUCAGAGAAACAGGGCUGCUUAUAUUGCUGAGAGUGUAUGCUGGCAGCACUUUUCUAGAGUGCAGUUUGGCAAUAUGUAUCAAAAGCCUUGAGCAUGUGCAUUUGACCCAGCAAUUCUUUUAGAAAUGUGUCAUAAGCAGGCUGGGUGCAGUGGCUCAUGCCUGUAAUCCCAGCACUUUGGGAGGCCAAGGCGGGUGGAUCACCUGAGGCCAGGAGUUUGAGACCAGCCUGGCCAACAUGGUGAAACCCCGUCUCUACUAAAUACAAACAAAUUAGCUAAGUGUGGUGGUACACGCCUGUAGUCCCAGCUACUUGGAGGCUGAGGCAGGAGAAUCGCUUGAACCCAGAAGGCGGAGGUUGCAGUGAGCUGAGAUCAUGCCACUGCACUCCAGCUUGGGUGACAGAGCAAGACUCUGCCUAAAACAAAACAAAAGGCCAGGCACGGUGGCGCACACCUGUAAUGCCAGCACUUUGGGAGUCUGCGGUGGGGUUGGAUCACCUGAGGUCAGGAGUUCAAGACCAGCCUGGCCAACAUGGUGAGACCCCAUCUCUACUAAAAAUACAAAAACUAGCUGGGCAUGCUGGCAGGUGCUUGUAGUUUCAACUAUUGGGAAGGCUGAGAUGGGAGAAUCACUUGAGCCCAGGAGGCAGAGGUUGUAGUGAGCCAAGAUUGUGCCACUGCACUCCAGCCUAGGUGACAGAGCGAGACUCCGUCUCAAAAAAAAAAAAAAAAAAGUAUUAUAAGCAAAUAAGGGUGUGUUUAACAAGUUAAUUGCAAGAGUAUUCUUUACUGCAUCAUUUAUUAGGAGAUUGGUUAAGAAACAUCCAUACAGUGAACAUUUGAAAUGAUGUGGAGGAAAUUUUAUUGACAUGAUACAUUGUUAAGAGCAAAGAAAAAGUUUUAAAAUACAAAUGUUUAAUCUGUAAGUCUCACAAAGAUCAUCUAACAAAAUAUGCACGAGGUGUUAAGUCAGCCUUGCAAACGUAACUAUUUUUUCAUUAUUUUUAUAUCAGUUACUGUUAUCGGACCAUUUUAUAUUGACUGAGGAUCUUUGUUAAGACUUCUUCAGCCUUCUGUGAAAUCUUGUUAUGAUGGCUAUAGUGACCCUAUAUGAAACACAACCAGAAUAUGUUUAUGCUCAGAUAUUUCAAGCAAUAUUUGAUGCUUAAAAUACCAAAGUGACAAUGAAAAUGAAAGAAAUUUGGAUAGUUCCUUAGAGUUAUUUGUUUGUGUCUCAGAUAUGAACAUAAAGUAUGUUUUUAAUAUUAUCAGUUUUGAGUAUAAUAGAAUAAAUGCCUUCUCACCUUAA